UACGUAGGGGGCAAGCGUUGUCCGGAAUUAUUGGGCGUAAAGAGCGCGUAGGCGGUCCGGUAAGUCGGUUGUGAAAGUCCGGGGCUCAACUCCGGAUCUGCGGUGGGUACGGGCAGACUAGAGUGAUGUAGGGGAGACUGGAAUUCCUGGUGUAGCGGUGAAAUGCGCAGAUAUCAGGAGGAACACCGAGUGGCGAAGGCAGGUCUCUGGGCGAUUAACUGACGCUGAGGAGCGAAAGCAUGGGGAGCGAACAGG
rnacentral:rRNA from 1 species